rnacentral:rRNA from 1 species
UACGUAGGGGGCUAGCGUUGUCCGGAAUUAUUGGGCGUAAAGAGCUUGUAGGCGGUUUGUCGCGUCUGCUGUGAAAUUUCGGGGCUCAACCCCGAACUUGCAGUGGGUACGGGCAGACUAGAGUGUGGUAGGGGAGACUGGAAUUCCUGGUGUAGCGGUGAAAUGCGCAGAUAUCGGGAGGAACACCGAUGGCGAAGGCAGGUCUCUGGGCCACUACUGACGCUGAGAAGCGAAAGCAUGGGGAGCGAACAGG